UACAGUGCUUCUUCAGCAUGGUGAAAUUGAAAUGAUACAGAGAAGAUUAGCAUAGCCUCUACAUAAAGAUGACCCAUGAAUUCAUUUUAUAUAUAUAUUCCAUAUUUUU